UAACAGUCUUUUCUCCACUGCCAGGGUGAUA
rnacentral:piRNA from 1 species